rnacentral:rRNA from 1 species
UAAUUCUAGAGCUAAUACAUGCUGUUGAGCCCGACUUCUUGGAAGGGCGGUAUUUAUUAGAUAACAAGCCAAUAUUCCUCUGGUCUAUUGUGGUGACUCAUGAUAACUGUCUCGGAUCGCAAGGCCUAUGGCCGCGAUAAGUCAUUCAAGUUUCUGCCCCAUCAGCUUUCGAUGGUAGUGUAUUGGACUACCAUGGCGUUUACGGGUAACGGAGGAUUAGGGUUCGAUUCCGGAGAGGGAGCCUGAGAAACGGCUACCACAUCUAAGGAAGGCAGCAGGCGCGUAAAUUACCCAAUCCUGACUCAGGGAGGUAGUGACAAGAAAUAGCGGACAGAGGCCCUUGUGGCUUCUGGAUU